GUGAACGCUGGCGGUAGGCCUAACACAUGCAAGUCGAACGGCAGCACAGUAAGAGCUUGCUCUUACGGGUGGCGAGUGGCGGACGGGUGAGGAAUACAUCGGAAUCUACUUUUUCGUGGGGGACAACGUAGGGAAACUUACGCUAAUACCGCAUACGACCUACGGGUGAAAGCAGGGGAUCUUCGGACCUUGCGCGAUUGAAUGAGCCGAUGUCGGAUUAGCUAGUUGGCGGGGUAAAGGCCCACCAAGGCGACGAUCCGUAGCUGGUCUGAGAGGAUGAUCAGCCACACUGGAACUGAGACACGGUCCAGACUCCUACGGGAGGCAGCAGUGGGGAAUAUUGGACAAUGGGCGCAAGCCUGAUCCAGCCAUACCGCGUGGGUGAAGAAGGCCUUCGGGUUGUAAAGCCCUUUUGUUGGGAAAGAAAAGCAGCAGGUUAAUACCCCGCUGUUCUGACGGUACCCAAAGAAUAAGCACCGGCUAACUUCGUG
rnacentral:rRNA from 1 species